AGCGAACGCUGGCGGCAGGCCUAACACAUGCAAGUCGAGCGCCGUAGCAAUACGGAGCGGCAGACGGGUGAGUAACGCGUGGGAACGUGCCCUUCGGUUCGGAAUAACUCAGGGAAACUUGAGCUAAAACCGGAUACGUCCGAAAGGAGAAAGAUUUAUCGCCGAAGGAUCGGCCCGCGUAAGAUUAGCUAGUUGGUGAGGUAACGGCUCACCAAGGCUCUGAUCUUUAGCUGGCUGAGAGGACGAUCAGCCACACUGGGACUGAGACACGGCCCAGACUCCUACGGGAGGCAGCAGUGGGGAAUAUUGGACAAUGGGCGCAGGCCUGAUCCAGCCAUGCCGCGUGAGUGAUGAAGGCCUUAGGGUU
rnacentral:rRNA from 1 species